GCUGGUUGCCUGUGAACGAAUCUAAGUUCCCCCUUAAUUUUACGCCCAAAGACCCAACUUACUCCCCCGUACUAAAUUAAGAGUAAUUUAAAGGAGGUACAGCUCCUUUAAAAAAGAAUACAACCUCCCCCAUAGGAUAAGCACCCAUUUCACACACCUGUAGGCCUUCAAGCAGCCACCAAUAAAGAAUGCGUCAAAGCUCUUAACCCCUAAAAAUCCAAAAACAUACGCGACUCCCUCCCCCACAACAGGCCAACCUAUCACAAAUAGGAGCAUUAAUGCUAGAAUAAGUAACUAAGGAACAACCUUCUAAAGCACAAACUUACAUCACACAUUAUUAACAAACCAACUAAUACCCUAACUGUCACAAGACCAAGUAUUUAACACAACCCUGUUAAACCAACCCAGGAGUGCCCAAUUAGAAAGAUUUAAACCUGUAAAAGGAACUAGGCAAACCCAAGGCCCGACUGUUUACCAAAAACACAGCCUUCAGCAAACCAAGUAUUGAAGGUGACGCCUGCCCAGUGACACAAAGUUCAACGGCCGCGGUAUCCUAACCGUGCAAAGGUAGCGCAAUCAAUUGUCUCAUAAAUCGAGACUUGUAUGAAUGGCCAAACGAGGUCUUAACUGUCUCUUACAGGUAAUCAGUGAAAUUGAUCUCCUCGUGCAAAAGCGAGGAUAUUCCCAUAAGACGAGAAGACCCUGUGGAACUUAAAAACCAGCGACCACUGCAAACCAAAUCAAAACCUAAUAGGAACACUACCAAAAACAGCUGGUCCGCAUUUUUCGGUUGGGGCGACCUUGGAGAAAAACACAUCCUCCAAAAAUAAGACAAUACCUCUUUACCAAGAUCAACCACUCAACGUACUAACAGUAACCCGAUCCAGUAUAACUGAUCAAUGAACCAAGCUACCCCAGGGAUAACAGCGCAAUCCCCUUCAAGAGCCCAUAUCGACAGGGGGGUUUAC
rnacentral:rRNA from 1 species